CUCCGCCGCUGCCGCUCGCUGAGGCUGGGAGGCUGAGGGCCGCCUGCCGGGAGAGCCCAGCUUCGGGGGCUGCUCCGCCCCCGGUCCGCCUCCGGGGCGCGGCCGCGGGCCUCCGGGGCCAGGCCUCUAGCGACCCAGGCCCGGGUGCACCUGGGCUCCGUCGCGGCUGCCUCUGGCGCCGGCGUUGGCUCCUGUGAGUUCGCCCGGGGCUUGGCCCGGGUAGCUGCUGCCCGCCAGCGCGCCCGCCCGCAGGCUCCCAUUCCAUGGGCUGUGCCGCCUUGGCCUCCUUCCUCCACCUCUUCCCACACUAGAGCGCAGCCUCCUCUCCUCUCCCUCUCUUGGCUGUUUUCUCAAAGUUUUUCCUUUUCAGACACUUAGGACAGAAACUCUCCCUUCCCUUCUUGGGCUGUAUCUCAGUGAUGAAUCAAUCCCUGCGGACCCAGAGAGAGUAGCAGAAGCAGAAACGAAACGGAUGGAGCCUUUCCUCACAUGGAGCCACCAACUGGGUACUGAGCUGGGAGAGGGAGAGCUGCAGGUCGACAAGGCACAGUGCUACAUUGGCGGCUGGCUGGCUGGGAGAAGCGCAGGUGUACAGUUCAGUGGCAUUAGCUACUAUUAAUAUCUUAGUUUGAGCUGCCAUUACAAAAUACCACAGGCUCAGGGCUUCCGUGGUGGUCCAGUGGUUAAGAAUCCACCUUGGAAUACGAGGGACACCAGUUCGAUCCCUGGUCCAGGAUCCCACAUGCCUCAGAGCAACUAAGUCCCUGAGCCGAAAGUACUGGAGUCGGUGUUCCUACAGCUCAUGCUCUGCAACGAGAGACGCCACCACGAUGAGAAGCCCGAGCACCGCAACGAAGAGGAGCCCUGCUCUCCGCAACUGGAGAAAGCCCGGAUGCAGCAACGAAGACCCACCAUGGCCAAGAACUAACUAAAUAAAGCUUCUAAAAAUCCUUUAAAAAUACCACAGGCUGGUGGUAUAAACAACAGAAACUUAUUUUCUCACAAUUCUGGAGGCUAAACAUCCAAGAUCAACAUGCCAUUAUGGUCAGUUUCUGGUGAGAGCUCCCUUCGUACGUAGCGUGCAGAUGGCUGACUUCCCCCUGUGUCCUUACAUGGUGGGGAGAGAAAGAGAGCAAACUCCCUGUUGUCCCUUCUUCUUGUUGUUAUUGGUUAGUCACUCAGUCAUGUCCAACUCUUUGCAACGCCAUGGACUGUAGCCCUCCAGGUCCCUCUGUCCAUGGGAUUUCCCAGGCAAGAAUACUGGAGUGGGUUGC